rnacentral:rRNA from 1 species
UACAGAGGUCUCAAGCGUUGUUCGGAUUCAUUGGGCGUAAAGGGUGUGUAGGUGGCGCCGUAAGUGGGGUGUGAAAUCUCGGGGCUUAACUCCGAAACUGCAUUCCAUACUGCGGUGCUUGAGGACUGGAGAGGAGACUGGAAUUCAUGGUGUAGCAGUGAAAUGCGUAGAGAUCAUGAGGAAGACCAGUGGCGAAGGCGGGGCUCUGGACAGUUCCUGACACUGAGACACGAAGGCCAGGGGAGCAAACGGG